rnacentral:rRNA from 1 species
GACGAACGCUGGCGGCGUGCCUAAUACAUGCAAGUAGAACGCUGAAGGAGGAGCUUGCUUCUCUGGAUGAGUUGCGAACGGGUGAGUAACGCGUAGGUAACCUGCCUUUAACUCUGGGAUAAGCCUGGGAAACUGGGUCUAAUACCGGAUACGACCAAUCUCCGCAUGGGGUGUUGGUGGAAAGCGUUAUGUAGUGGUUAUAGAUGGGCUCACGGCCUAUCAGCUUGUUGGUGAGGUAACGGCUCACCAAGGCGACGACGGGUAGCCGGCCUGAGAGGGUGACCGGCCACACUGGGACUGAGACACGGCCCAGACUCCUACGGGAGGCAGCAGUGGGGAAUAUUGCACAAUGGGCGCAAGCCUGAUGCAGCGACGCCGCGUGAGGGAUGACGGCCUUCGGGUUGUAAACCUCUGUUAGCAGGGAAGAAGAGAAAUUGACGGUACCUGCAGAGAAAGCGCCGGCUAACUACGUGCCAGCAGCCGCGGUAAUACGUAGGGCGCGAGCGUUGUCCGGAAUUAUUGGGCGUAAAGAGCUUGUAGGCGGUUUGUCGCGUCUGCUGUGAAGGCCGGGGCUUAACCCCGUGUAUUGCAGUGGGUACGGGCAGACUAGAGUGCAGUAGGGGAGACUGGAAUUCCUGGUGUGGCGGUGGAAUGCGCAGAUAUCAGGAGGAACACCGAUGGCGAAGGCAGGUCUCUGGGCUGUAACUGACGCUGAGAAGCGAAAGCAUGGGGAGCGAACAGGAUUAGAUACCCUGGUAGUCCAUGCCGUAAACGUUGGGCACUAGGUGUGGGGAACAUUCCACGUUUUCCGCGCCGUAGCUAACGCAUUAAGUGCCCCGCCUGGGGAGUACGGCCGCAAGGCUAAAACUCAAAGAAAUUGACGGGGGCCCGCACAAGCGGCGGAGCAUGCGGAUUAAUUCGAUGCAACGCGAAGAACCUUACCAAGGCUUGACAUAUACUGGACCGCAUCAGAGAUGGUGUUUCCCUUCGGGGCUGGUGUACAGGUGGUGCAUGGUUGUCGUCAGCUCGUGUCGUGAGAUGUUGGGUUAAGUCCCGCAACGAGCGCAACCCUCGUUCUAUGUUGCCAGCACGUAAUGGUGGGGACUCAUAGGAGACUGCCGGGGUCAACUCGGAGGAAGGUGGGGAUGACGUCAAAUCAUCAUGCCCCUUAUGUCUUGGGCUUCACGCAUGCUACAAUGGCCGGUACAGAGGGUUGCGAUACUGUGAGGUGGAGCUAAUCCCUAAAAGCCGGUCUCAGUUCGGAUUGGGGUCUGCAACUCGACCCCAUGAAGUCGGAGUCGCUAGUAAUCGCAGAUCAGCAACGCUGCGGUGAAUACGUUCCCGGGCCU